rnacentral:tRNA from 1 species
UGGAUCACCUCCUAACAGGGAGACAACAAAAUGUUUAAUAUUAUUAUUUUGUCACCUUAGGUCGAUCGGUAUCUCACGUUCUUAAUUUAUUAAGAAUUUCAAUUCCUAAGUUUUUCUAGGUCACACCCAUUAUUUUCCCUGGGCCAUUAGCUCAGGUGGUUAGAGCGCACCCCUGAUAAGGGUGAGGUCCCUGGUUCAAGUCCAGGAUGGCCCAUAUCUCUAUGUUGGGGGUAUAGCUCAGUUGGUAGAGCGCCUGCUUUGCAAGCAGGAUGUCAGCGGUUCGAGUCCGCUUACCUCCACUGAUUACCACCUCUGCCAUAAUUUUGUAAAGGGAAAUAUUUUGAGUGUUGAUCAAAUUCUGAACGAAUCUAGCUUCCUAAUGAAAUCAUUAAGAUGCUGGACUCAUUGAAUUAAUUUCAUUGUUUUCAGAGAACCUUGACAACUGCAUAGAUUAUUUUUAAAGACAAUAAGCAUCUUUAAUGAUGCAGAUUUAUUAUUUGUGCGAAUGCAUUAAUAACAAUUCUAUUAAGCUGAUGCUUCAAUUUUGAAGUUAUUGGUCAAGCUACAAAGGGCUCACGGAGGAUACCUAGGCACACAGAGGCGAUGAAGG